rnacentral:rRNA from 1 species
UGAAUACGAGAUGCUACGGCGUCGAAGCAGUCUAUGUCAUACUUCCCAGAAAAGCUCGCACUGUCAUAAACAAAUAAUGCCUGUACCAUAACCGACACAGGUGGGUAGGUAGAGUAUACUAAGGGGCGCGAGAUAACUCUCUCUAAGGAACUCGGCAAAAUGACUCCGUAACUUCGGGAGAAGGAGUGCCUUAUUUAUAAGGUUGCAAUAACAAGAUCCAAGCAACUUUUAUCAAAAACACAGGUCUCCGCUAAGUCGUAAGACGAUGUAUGGGGGCUGACGCCUGCCCAGUGCCAGAAGGUUAAAGAAGUUGGUUAGCAUUCGCGAAGCUGAUAACUGAAGCCCUGGUGAACGGCGGCCGUAACAAUAACGGUCCUAAGGUAGCGAAAUUCCUUGUCGGGUAAGUUCCGACCCGCACGAAAGGCGUAAUGAUUUGGAUACUGUCUCGGAGAGGGGCUCGGUGAAAUAGACUUGUCUGUGAAGAUGCGGACUACCUGCACCAGGACAGAAAGACCCUAUGAAGCUUUACUGUAACUUGAGAUUGAAAUUGGACUUUACUUGCGCAGUAUAGGUGGGAGGCGUUGAUAAUAUUCUUGCGGGAUUAUUUGAGCCAUCAGUGAGAUACCACUCUUGUAAUGUUAGAUUUCUAACUUUGUAUCAUUAUCUGGUCAAAGGACAGUUUCAGGCGGGCAGUUUGACUGGGGCGGUCGCCUCCUAAACGGUAACGGAGGCGCACAAAGGUUUCCUCUGAACGGGUAGAAAUCGUAUCUAGAGUGUAAAGGCAUAAGGAAGCUUGACUGUGAGACCUACAAGUCGAGCAGGGACGAAAGUCGGUCUUAGUGAUCUGACGGUGCUGAGUGGAAAGGCCGUCACUCAACGGAUAAAAGUUACUCUAGGGAACAGGCUGAUCUCCCCCAAGAGUUCACAUCGACGGGGAGGUUUGGCACCUCGAUGUCGGCUCAUCGCAUCCUGGGGCGGUAGUACGUCCCAAGGGUUGGGCUGUUCGCCCAUGAAAGCGGUACGCGAGCUGGGUUCAGAACGUCGUGAGACAGUUCGGUCCAUAUCCGGUGUAGGCGUUAGAAUAUUGAGAGGAGCCUUCUUUAGUACGAGAGGACCGAGAAGGACAUACCUCUGGUGUACCAGUUAUCGUGCCAACGGUAAACGCUGGGUAGCUAUGUAUGGAGUGGAUAACCGCUGAAAGCAUCUAAGUGGGAAGCCCACCUCAAGAUGAUUGCUCUCACAGGGUUAACCUGGUAAGGUCACGGGAAGACCACCCGUUGAUAGGCACUCGGUGGAAGUCCAGCAAUGGAUGAAGCCAAGGUGUACUAACAGACCGAGGGCUUGACC